rnacentral:tRNA from 1 species
GGGCGAUUAGCUCAGGGGUAGAGCGCCUCCCUUACAAGGAGGAGGUCGCUGGUUCGAAACCAGCAUCGCCCA